rnacentral:lncRNA from 1 species
CCGUCAUACUCCAUGCUGUUUAGCGGAGCCAGCGGCCAGCCAUCAUAACCUCACAAUAUGCAAGUUUUUCUUGUGCAGGUGUUAACCUGUCACCAGUAACAAUCUCAGGAUCAUCGCCUGGAUAAAAAACAUCCUAUGGCAUUGGAAUGCGAUCCAAUGGAUUGUCAAUCGAGUUUCGUAUCUCUCUUUUCCCCCUUUCUUUAAAUGUCCUUGUGUACGCCCAUGUGAAUGUGGGUGUAUUCACGAGGACACCCUUUUACCCUAUCCCGUCUGGUGUCAUUUCACUCUUCAGCGGAUGGAUGGAGCAACUUUAGAUGCCUGGCUGUAUUUCCAAUCAUAAAGGUAGGACAAAAUUGAUCUCUUUUAUUGUCUUGAUCUAUUCUUCUUUUUGAGAGAAAUCGUUACGUAUUCACGGAGUAUGUUUAUUCCUGAGGUAGGCGGUUGACUUGCAACUGUUUUCUUUCUCCGUUUUGGUUUUGUGUCUUAAGUAAUAAGGGUUCACUAAAAAUCUCAUUUGUUGAACGACUGCAAAUCAGGCUUGUUUUUGUAUCUCACAACUUUUCCUGUGGGUAAACCAUCACAUUCGAAAAUAUUUGAAUUUUAAACACUUUCAAACAAAGUGCAACAAGAAAAUUUUUUUACCAAGAGGGACCUGCCACCACACUCUGGCAUC